AGAGUUUGAUCCUGGCUCAGAGCGAACGCUGGCGGCAGGCUUAACACAUGCAAGUCGAGCGGGCCCUUCGGGGUCAGCGGCGGACGGGUGAGUAACGCGUGGGAACGUGCCUUCUGGUUCGGAAUAACCCUGGGAAACUAGGGCUAAUACCGGAUACGCCCUUAUGGGGAAAGGUUUACUGCCGGAAGAUCGGCCCGCGUCUGAUUAGCUAGUUGGUGGGGUAACGGCCUACCAAGGCGACGAUCAGUAGCUGGUCUGAGAGGAUGAUCAGCCACACUGGGACUGAGACACGGCCCAGACUCCUACGGGAGGCAGCAGUGGGGAAUAUUGGACAAUGGGCGCAAGCCUGAUCCAGCCAUGCCGCGUGAGUGAUGAAGGCCUUAGGGUUGUAAAGCUCUUUAUCCGGGACGAUAAUGACGGUACCGGAGGAAUAAGCCCCGGCUAACUUCGUG
rnacentral:rRNA from 1 species